UAUAAUAUAGACAGCUCUGACUUUCAGGAUCUCUCGCCAUCCCUGAGCCCUCUGAAAACUGUAACAGAUGGGGGCGGGGUGUAGACAUUAAUGUCCUAAAGCAGAAACUAUGGGGCUUAAAAAUGGAGGGAGCGCCCCCAGAAACCUCACAUGGGUGGGAGGAAACUUGAGGCUUCAGGAAAGUGGGAGGGGAGCGUGCUUUGGGCCCUUGGUUUUGAAAUGGGCUCUCUUUUUUUGUUUGUUUUUUAAAGGAGAACUGCAAGGAAAAAAAAAAUCAAGAUUUGGAGGAAUUACUCACAGAGAUGGAAGUCUGUGUCCUUUGAUUUCCCCAAAAGAAGAAAAGAAGAGAGAAAAACUGGAUAACUGCUGGACUUUACUACCAAGAGACGCAAAAGUACUUCCUAACUGAGGACAUCUUCUCCCAAAGGAAAAAAAGUCCACAGAGCAAUUAGAACAAUAUUAUUCUCUGGGUUGGAAACAGGGUACCUUGUUUACUGAAGUUUUCUGAGGCAAAAAAAAAAAAUCAUUAUUUUAAUGCAAACGCUUAAAACUGUGCAGAAAAAAAAAUAAAGGUUCGUGCUGUCAUA